AGAGUUUGAUCCUGGCUCAGAUUGAACGCUGGCGGCAUGCCUAACACAUGCAAGUCGAACGGAAACGAUGGGAGCUUGCUCCCAGGCGUCGAGUGGCGGACGGGUGAGUAAUACUUAGGAAUCUGCCCAUUAGUGGGGGACAACUAGAAGAAAUUCUAGCUAAUACCGCAUACGCCCUACGGGGGAAAGCGGGGGAUCUUCGGACCUCGCGCUAAUGGAUGAGCCUAAGUCGGAUUAGCUUGUUGGUGAGGUAAUGGCUCACCAAGGCGACGAUCCGUAGCUGGUCUGAGAGGACGAUCAGCCACACUGGGACUGAGACACGGCCCAGACUCCUACGGGAGGCAGCAGUGGGGAAUAUUGGACAAUGGGCGCAAGCCUGAUCCAGCAAUGCCGCGUGUGUGAAGAAGGCCUGCGGGUUGUAAAGCACUUUCAGUAGAGAAGAAAAGCCUACGGUUAAUAGCCGUAAGUCUUGACGUAACCUACAGAAGAAGCACCGGCUAACUCCGUGCCAGCAGCCGCGGUAAUACGGAGGGUGCGAGCGUUAAUCGGAAUUACUGGGCGUAAAGCGCGCGUAGGCGGCUUUGUCAGUCGGAUGUGAAAGCCCCGGGCUUAACCUGGGAAUUGCAUUCGAUACUGCAUGGCUAGAGUAUGG
rnacentral:rRNA from 1 species